AACUUUCAGCAAUGGAUCUCUUGGUUCCCGCGUCGAUGAAGAACGUGGCAAAAUGCGAUAAGUAGUGUGAAUUGCAGAAUUCAGUGACUCAUCGAAUUUUUGAACGCAUAUUGCGCUCCUCAGUAUUCUGUGGAGCAUGCCUGUUUGAGCGUCA
rnacentral:rRNA from 14 species